GAAAAAUCUAUGGCGCGCAUUUCUCUCUGGUAAAAAUUCCAUGCCGUCUCUCGUAAAAAGCAGGAAGCCCUACCCUCUCUCUCAUGCACCUCUCUCUCUCACGUGCGUGUCCAUCUUCAAGGUCUCUCUCUGCAGAAAUUUACUGGACUCAUUGCCAUUUGAAUGACUAUGAUUGCGGUAGAUAAAGACCAUAGAACUACAAUGAGUUAUUUAAUAAAUGACAUUUCUCUCUCAGAAAUGCUAUUGAACGUGCUUUUGGAGUUUUGAAGGCAUGUUUCCCUAUCUUGAAAGUGAUUACUACCUAUCUAAUCAAAACACAAGUCAAGAUACUUGUUGCAUUUUGUAUUUUACACAAUUUCAUUACAAGUGAAGACGAUGACCUUCCUUAUUAUGAAUAUGGAAUAUCAAGAUCAAAACCAGCCACUGUUAGUGGAAGUUCCAGAGUCGGAAGUAUUUGAGAGGAGUCAGAGGAAGAGAGAUGAGUGGUUUGAGUUCAGAGAUGACCUUCCGAUGCGGAUGUGGUCAGAUUAUAGGAGUCGUCUUAAUUGAAACUCAUAAUUUUUAUUUUUAUAAUUGAGAUGAAUUCAUGAGAACAGCUUUUAUGGGAUGUAAACCUGAUUUUACUUUAUGUUUUUCUGUUAGACAUUAUGAUCCUUUUAAAUCUAUGAAAUUUCUAUUUUGCU